rnacentral:rRNA from 1 species
AUGUCGUCAUGGGUGGUGGAUAUGGAGAAGAAGGUCCAGGGCGCUGAGCCGCCGGUGAAGGUGGAGAAAUGGCGGAAAUACUGCAUCUUCCGAGUCCCGUUGCGCUUCAAGGUGAUCGAUGGCAGGGUGAGCAGCGUAUACAAACCGCAGACAGUGUCUUUGGGCCCAUUCCACCACGAUGACAAGGACCUGAAACCCUUGGAGGAGCACAAGCUGAGGGCCGUACAUCACCUCCUCCACCGGGACGGCUGCAAGACCACACUUUUCGAGCUUGUCACCACCAUGGAGAAGGUAGGUGAGGAGCUUCAGGAUGCCUACAUGGAACUGGGCGACGAGUGGCAGGGUGAGGAGAACAGGGGUAAGUUCCUGGAGAUGAUGAUCAUCGACGGUUGCUUCCUACUGGAGGUGAUGAGGACGGCCAUAGGUGGGAAGUACUCCAUUCCCAAGGACUACAAGCAGGAUGACCCCGUCUUUAGCUGGCAUGGCAUCCAACACAUCAAGACGUUCGUCCUACGCGACAUGCUCCUGGUCGAGAACCAGCUGCCACUCAGGUUGCUCGAGAAAAUCGUCACCGCAGAGAGCGGCAGAUUUCCGAGUGUGUCUUCGAUCAAUUCCAUGGUGCUUAAAUUCCUGGAAGGCAAAGAUGCCCCCGAAGGGUCCGAUGAGUAG